GGGUUACCACUCCUCAGGGAAAUGCUUUGCAGCUGUACUGUAAGAGUGCCCUUCACUAUUUAAUACUUACAGGAAAAGGAACUUAUCUACUAUACAGAGGAGGAAACUGCAGCUCACAGAAGCUGUCACCUUUCUCCUGCUUAGGCAAACUUUGUUCAAGACCUUGUUUCAUGCCAGGGUGGACCCAUAAGCAAGGAGUUUACGCAAUGAUUGAAGCAUCAGUUUUGUUAAUCAGUGAGUUGGUUAGAAGACUUCUGACAGCAGUUCCAAGUCUGGAGUACAACACAUACCUCUAAUCUCGUACUGUCUGACAGUGCUAAAUUUAGCACUUAUAUUGUUUCAGAUGUUUUUUUUUUUGUUUUGGUUUGGUUUUUUUUGGCUGUCUGUUUUUUAGAACAUUGAUGAAAAAAAAUAUGAAGCCUGUCAAAGGAUUAGGAAACAAACCUUCUGGUGCAGUGCCUUCUCUAUGUAGUGCCACUCUACUUUGCAGCAUUAAAAGGCAAGACAGAGUGUCUUUCUGAGUGAAAUUCAAUGAAUGCUUUUUAAUCUUUUAACGGUUAUGCAUUAUGUCUCCACUUCCACAUCUCAGAUUGAAUAAAGUUUAGGGCAGAUUUUCA
rnacentral:lncRNA from 1 species